rnacentral:ribozyme from 15 species
GCGCAGAAAGAAAGAAGAAAAAAAAAAAAACAAACACAAAAAAAAAGG